rnacentral:rRNA from 1 species
UGGGGAAUCUUGCACAAUGGGGGCAACCCUGAUGCAGCGACGCCGCGUGAGCGAUGAAGCCCUUCGGGGUGUAAAGCUCUUUCGGCAGGGAAGAUAAUGACGGUACCUGCAGAAGCAGCUGCGGCUAACUACGUGCCAGCAGCCGCGGUAAUACGUAGGCAGCAAGCGUUGUUCGGAGUUACUGGGCGUAAAGGGUGUGUAGGCGGCUCUCUAAGUUUGGUGUGAAAUCUCCUGGCUCAACCGGGAGGGUGCGCCGAAUACUGAAGGGCUAGAGUACGGGAGAGGAAAGUGGAAUUCCUGGUGUAGCGGUGAAAUGCGUAGAUAUCAGGAGGAACACUGGUGGUGUAGACGGCUUUCUGGACCGUAACUGACGCUGAGACACGAAAGCGUGGGUAGCAAACAGGAUUAGAUACCCUGGUAGUCCACGCCCUAAACGAUGCAUAUUUGGUGUGGGUCAUUCAGUUGAUCCGUGCCGGAGCUAACGCGUUAAAUAUGCCGCCUGGGGAGUACAGUCGCAAGGCUG